rnacentral:rRNA from 1 species
GAGACCCGUGCCCACUGUUACCAGCAUAUCCUCCGGGAUGAUGGGUACUCUGUGGGGACCGCCGGUGUUAAAUCGGAGGAAGGUGCGGGCCACGGUAGGUCAGUAUGCCCCGAAUUUCCCGGGCUACACGCGGGCUACAAUGAAUGGGACAAUGGGUCCCUACCCUGAAAAGGGCUGGUAAUCUCACAAACCCAUCCUUAGUUCGGAUCGAGGGCUGUAACUCGCCCUCGUGAAGCUGGAAUCCGUAGUAAUCGCGUUUCAAUAUAGCGCGGUGAAUAC